CACACACACACACGACUCUGCAACAGUUUUAGUCCUCAAUGCUUUGGAGCUACUCUAAUGUUUUGAGAGGAAAGUAAUUUUUCAAUUUCUGUUUUACCCCAAACCUAACAGGUGACUGGCCUAAAGGGACUUUGUUCCCCAUCCCCUGCUUAAUGCUGCUGGCUCACCAUAGCUCUAGUGAUUCAGAAUUUAAAUCGAAUGCGAACAUUUGCGAGUAAUGCAGGGAGUGAUGAGAGCUUUUAUGGACAGCAAGAAUUGAAGUUCGAAGCAAAAUGGCACAAAUACAGCGGAUAACAGAGGUGGCUCUCCUCUGGGAAGUCAUCAGGACUCUCGUCUGCUGUGGGGCUACAUGGAGUCCAGGCCCCAGGCUC